rnacentral:rRNA from 1 species
UACGGGGGGAGCAAGCGUUGUUCGGAUUUACUGGGCGUAAAGGGCGCGUAGGCGGUCAGCACAAGUCAGUUGUGAAAUCUCCGGGCUUAACUCGGAAAGGUCAACUGAUACUGUGCGACUAGAGUGCAGAAGGGGCAACUGGAAUUCUCGGUGUAGCGGUGAAAUGCGUAGAUAUCGGAAGGAACACCUGUGGCGAAAGCGGCUCACUGGACCAUUACUGACGCUGAUGCACGAAAGCUAGGGGAGCAAACAGG